UUGAAUUUAAGGCCCAAAGACCAUCGAAUUUGGUAGGAACCCUAAUCCGGGUUGGAGCGCAUCUUCAUGUUCUUCGCUUCUCUCAUCGGCGGAAGGGACGAUUCGGAUUUCUGUAACGCUAUGUGUUGUGAUUUUCCGUCUUAAAUCCUCUUAAUUCGCAAGCCCACUCCAAGACCUUUCGAUUGCGUUGUUCGUCGGCAAAAUCGUAGGCCAGACUGCUUCGAUUCUGGGAGGUUAGGAAUGUUAAGCGUGGUGGGAGCUUAAGUGGAUGGAUUUGCUCAUGGUGGAUGUUAACGCAACCAUGAUGCAAGUGACGAUCAGUUCAAGCCAUCUCCUACAAUACCGGGAGAGACUCAUUGCCGGAACAAUGUUUUCCAUGUCCGUUGAUGUCUCUAGAUGUGCACAGAGCUUCCGGCUCACGAGUCUUCUCUGUUGAUCAGGUUCAACGAGAACACCAUUUUCGAGGAGAUAACUGAUCCAUAUCCCCCUUGCCCGAGGAAGCAUUUCGGUUUCGUAACCAUUCUGAGAUGAUUGGUUUAGCCAAUACAAACAUUCAAUUGCCAGGUAUAUUGCUCCCAAAUGACACGUACCUCUUAUAUUGUUGAACUUCUGUGUGUAAAGAGUAUGGUCUGUUUAUAUAUGUAAGAAAGUGAUAUAUAUCUCAUACUUUAUGUAGACGUCAUAGGUGAAAUACUUGGUGUGAAAAGCAUCAGUUUAGUCUAAAGACAUACAGCCAUUGAGUUAUUGACCUUUCUUACACUUACUGAAAACAUGGUUUACAAAUUAUACUCUGUUUAUAGACGCUAUCCUCUGUUUUGCAAUUUACAUUUCGUAGACCAACGACUCUGUCGUCUAAUAAAGUAAACCAACUCCCGGUUUGAUGAAACCAUCAUAAAGACACAAACCCAAAGUCUACUAAACGUUUACAUACACAUAGCCCAAAUCACAUAUUGUACGUGCUUCAAAUACUUUAAUAUAUCGGUGGAAUUAACCAUACUACCUUAUUGAUACAACAAUAAAAAUAUAUAUGUUUUAAAUGAAAUUUUAUUCAACAAUAAAAUAGUUUUAGUUAAAAUGAAUAAGUUGUUUUUUAAUAUCGCAUAAAUUAUUAGUUUAAAAGAAAAUAUGGAAAAACAAAUUAAUACAUGAAACAAAAAUAUAACUAAGAGAAAGUAACUUUGCUUUACUAACUCUAAUUCUAAAUUAAAAAACCUAUGUGACUUACUGCUGUAUUUAAACAAAAAAAAACAUCAAAAGAAAGUAAAUAAUUUUAUUUAUAAAAUUUUAUUACAAUUAGACAAAUUUAUAAUUUGUAAAAUGAAGAAUAAAGUACAUAGAUAAAAUUGUUGUAAAACAAUUAUGAACCUUAUUUUCAUUUUAAAUUAAAAUUAAAAUAAAAUUUAACAUAUUAAUAAAUUACGAUGCCUAUGUAUUUAUUCAUCAACUCCUCUGAAUCAGUUUCAUAUUUUCCCCCCAUAACUGGUACGU